rnacentral:sRNA from 1 species
GAUGAGAAGCUUCGACUAAGGUUCGACUCGAGCGCAGCGAGAGAACGUUGCCGCAGGCAACGGCCCGAAGGGCGAGGCGCUUUAGCGCCGAGUAAUCCUUCCCCCACCACCA